CUUUUAUAAAAUAUUAAACAAAUCUAUGCGUGCAUGUGAAUGUAUAAGAUGUACAUGUUUUUGUCAUUGAAAAUUGAUAAAAUAAUCUUAACAAAAAAACAACAGCAACAAAAAACAACAUCCGAAAUUGUGUCAUGUCAUUUGGGCACUUCCGGUUCCUGGAAACAGACUCUGUUAUGAUUUUAGUUCCAACCCAAACAAACAAAGCUCAGAUGAAGAUUUCUUCCCCUCAGAAACGUUUUGAGAGUCCUCUCUUCAGUCGGCUGACCUCCGUCUGCGUUGAAUCUUUUUUUAAGACAAACAUAAGUGACUGCCACAAGGCUUUUAUGACGCUUUUUGUUGUACGUUAUUGACGUUAUCUGGGUUGUUGCGCCACAGCGGCAGACAGUCCCCGCUGCAGCUGGAGCUGAGCUGAGGCUGAGCAGAGAUGACAAGCGAUUUGACUGCUACCGUCUGUACUUGAAAACCGGGUUGACAGCCUCGGCUUUGGCCCCUGCUUCGUGUGGAUCAGAUGUUUACAAAGACUCGUUGAGUCAGCCAGCAGCGGCAGACAGUCCCCGCUGCAGCUGGAGCUGAGCUGAGGCUGAGCAGAGAUGACAAGCGAUUUGACUGCUACCGUCUGUACUUGAAAACCGGGUUGACAGCCUCGGCUUUGGCCCCUGCUUCGUGUGGAUCAGAUGUUUACAAAGACUCGUUGAGUCAGCCAGCAGUUACUAUGAGUGCAAUGCGUGUGGAUGCUAAAGUGGUGAUGCUGGGAAAGGAGAGUGUGGGGAAGACGAGUCUGGUGGAGAGAUACGUUCAUCACCGCUUCCUGGUCGGCCCCUAC